AACAAUGUAAUCUUUUGAAACUCUCAUUUAUCCAAAUUCUUAUUUAUUUCAUAUGUUUGUCAUAUACUUGUUUAUCAAUUGUUGGGUUCUCAUCUAUGCUUAAAGCUUUUAUUGUUUAACUCAUUCAGUAAAAGUGGUUUGUCUUUAUUGAUAUGGGGACGUGCAGUAAUGUCAUGAACUGGUGAGAAAUUCCUUGAUUAUGUUAAUACCGCCUAGGGAUAGGGGUAGGAUGAUCAAUUGUAUUUUGCUUCCGUUCGUAUUGCAUUAUUAGUUACUAGGGGAGGCUAGGGAUAGCAAGCCGGUAAUUAAUAAUAGGCUCUUUUCACCAAGGGUUUGGGUUAAGGGUGGGCUAGAAAGUUUUGCAUGGCAAUUGGAUAAAUAAGUGAAGUAAAUAAGAAAAGUAGAUAUAUGAGAGUGGAUAAGAUGAAAUUGUAAACCCCCCAACAACACCAUUCAUCCAUAGUUUUUCCUUGGAAAUUGAAUCAUUUUCAUUUGCAUGUUUAGUUUUUGUUCUUUGCAUUCAACACUUACAUUUAAUUCUUUUCUCAAGUCUUAAGUGAUUAGGUUACACGAAAGAUUAGGCAUUUGAGUCCUUUGGGAAGAACGAUAUUGGGUUUACCAAUUAUAUUACUUGAUAACGAUCUGGUACACUUGCCAGGGGCUUAACAACCUUCAGAAGAUGGAAGAAGACAUUCCUUUUAUACUUUGCAAGAUGGAGAGAAUAUCCCCCCUCAUUCUUUGAUUCUAUGGAAC
rnacentral:lncRNA from 1 species